rnacentral:rRNA from 1 species
AGAGUUCUGGGCCGCACGCGCGCUACACUGACAGAGCCAGCGAGUCUACCACCUUUGCCGGAAGGCAUGGGUAAUCUUGUGAAACUCUGUCGUGAUGGGGAUAGAACAUUGCAAUUAUUGUUCUUCAACGAGGAAUACCUAGUAAGCGUGAUUCAUCAGAUCGCGUUGAUUACGUCCCUGCCCUUUGUACACACCGCCCGUCGCUACUACCGAUUGAAUGGCUUAGUGAGGCCUCCGGAUUGGCUAUUGGGAGCUCGCGAGAGCACCCGACUGCCGAGAAGUUGUACGAACUUGGUCAUUUAGAGGAAGUAAAAGUCGUAACAAGGUUUCCGUAGGUGAACCUGCGGAAGGAUCAUUAGUGAAUAUAGGACGUCCAACUUAACUUGGAGUCCGAACUCUCACUUUCUAACCCUGUGCACUUGUUUGGGAUAGUAACUCUCGCAAGAGAGCGAACUCCUAUUCACUUAUAAACACAAAGUCUAUGAAUGUAUUAAAUUUUAUAACAAAAUAAAACUUUCAACAACGGAUCUCUUGGCUCUCGCAUCGAUGAAAAACGCAGCGAAAUGCGAUAAGUAAUGUGAAUUGCAGAAUUCAGUGAAUCAUCGAAUCUUUGAACGCACCUUGCGCUCCAUGGUAUUCCGUGGAACAUGCCUGUUUGAGUGUCAUGAAUACUUCACCCUCCUCUUUCUUAAUGAUUGAAGAAGUGUUUGGGUUCUGAACGCUGCUGGCCUUUACGGGCUAACUCGUUCGUAAAGGCAUUAC